rnacentral:rRNA from 1 species
UACGUAGGGGGCAAGCGUUGUCCGGAUUUACUGGGUAUAAAGGGCGCGCAGGCGGGUUUGUAAGUCAGAGGUGAAAUCCUACAGCUCAACUGUAGAACUGCCUUUGAUACUGCAAGCCUUGAGUUCGGAAGAGAGAGAUGGAAUUCCAGGUGUAGUGGUGAAAUACGUAGAUAUCUGGAAGAACACCAGUGGCGAAGGCGAUCUCUUGGUCCGUAACUGACGCUGAGGCGCGAAAGCGUGGGGAGCAAACAGGAUUAGAUACCCGCGUA